rnacentral:lncRNA from 1 species
GCUCAAGAACUUGGAGCUUGAUAGGUUGCUGCUGUGGUGGAGUUUUGGUUCGUGUACAUGUGUUACACAUAAAGAGUAAUGUGUGACACAUGCUUCGGAGAAUAAAAAGAAAACGUCAAGAUGCGAUGAUGUGUGAUAUUUUCAUAUGCUUGGUUGACGAAAUAAGCAUUAAAGGAAUGUUAUUAGAUCACAAAUUGGAAUAUUUGGUGAUGCUAA